CCAGUCUACAAUGCCACAAAAUUCCGCCAAGAAUAAACAAAGACUGAAAGAGAUUGCGGAAUGUUGUUUACGUGUGUCACUCGACACUGACUGCAAGAAACAAAGAGUGGAGAGCUAAUGUAUGGUGCUAAGUAUGGAAAAGUCUCUUGUGGAUUGGUUGUGCCAGAGACAAAUGUACAUUAUUUCCAUGUUGGGUCAGAGGUCUCGGUACACUUUGGGUGAGUGGCAGUUGGGAAGAUGAAUGACCUUCAGAUAGUUUGAGAUGAAGAAGUUUUUUUCAAAUGAUUGAAAGUGAUCAUCACAGAAUCAACUCCAUUAUGAAGAUAAAUUACGAGCAAGUCAGCACCUCCUUUUGUCCAACACCAGAGAGAUCUGAGUACCCAUCCUACUGUUGAAUUAAUUGGUGACCAAGAAAAGAUGACAGAGAGGGGAAUCAAAUAUGGAUACCAUUGUGAUCAAGAAUAUAUACACUGACUCGAAAAUAUCUGAAAAUCUAUAGAUGAACAUUCAAGCAUUUAUAAUAAUGAAAGUUAUUCAGCAAGAGAGUUUUUGCACAAGUUUAAUUUCAGUAAAAUUGUGUAUAUUAUGCACUGAGGAACUUAGUAUGUAACUCAUUAUGAUUAUCCAUUUCUUUAAAAGAUGUAUUCGGAGUAUAUUUAAAUAAUCAUUAUCUUGUAGAAAAGAGCACACAACUUCUCUCUCUGAAGCAUGACACAUAUGCAUACACUCGAGCAUUUACCACAACCACAGUUACAUAUUUUCCAGGGCGUGUGAAGUCAAGCACACACAUGAAAAUGUGUGAAGCUGGACACAUAUGCAAACACACAAGCAUCUACCACAACACCAGUUACAUAUUUUCCAAGGCGUGUGAAGUCGAGCACAUACAUGAAAAUGUGUGAAGCUGGACACAUAUGCAAACACACAAGCAUCUACCACAACCAAUUACAUAUUUCCAAGGCGUGU